AGGACGAACGCUGGCGGCGUGCCUAACACAUGCAAGUCGAGCGGAGAUAGACUGAUGGUAACUGAAGCUUAUCUUAGCGGCGACGGGUGAGUAACACGUGGGCAACCUGCCUUGGAGUGGGGGAUAACACCGGGAAAUCGGUGCUAAUACCGCAUAACAUACACAAACUGCAUGGUAAGUGUAUCAAAGGAGUAAUCCGCUUUAAGAUGGGCCCGCGGCUGAUUAGCUAGUUGGUAAGGUAACGGCUUACCAAGGCGACGAUCAGUAGCCGACCUGAGAGGGUGACCGGCCACACUGGAACUGAGACACGGUCCAGACUCCUACGGGAGGCAGCAGUGGGGAAUAUUGCGCAAUGGGGGGAACCCUGACGCAGCAACGCCGCGUGGAGGAAGAAGGUCUUCGGAUUGUAAACUCCUGUCUUCUGGGACGAAGUAUGACGGUACCAGAGGAGGAAGCCACGGCUAACUACGUG
rnacentral:rRNA from 1 species